rnacentral:rRNA from 1 species
GAUUGAACGCUGGCGGCAUGCUUUACACAUGCAAGUCGAACGGUAACAGGCCGCAAGGUGCUGACGAGUGGCGAACGGGUGAGUAAUGCAUCGGAACGUGCCCAGUCGUGGGGAUAACGCAGCGAAAGCUGUGCUAAUACCGCAUACGAUCUAUGGAUGAAAGCGGGGGACCGUAAGGCCUCGCGCGAUUGGAGCGGCCGAUGUCCCAUUAGCUAGAUGGUAAGGUAACGGCUUACCAUGGCGACGAUGGGUAGGGGUCCUGAGAGGGAGACUCCCCCACACUGGUACUGAGACACGGACCAGACUCCUACGGGAGGCAGCAGUGAGGAAUAUUGGACAAUGGGCGCAAGUCUGAUCCAGCCAUUCCGCGUGCAGGACGAAGGCCUUCGGGUUGUAAACUGUCUUUUGUACAGAACGAAAGGUCUCUAUUAAUACUAGGGGCUCAUGACGGUACUGUAAGAAUAAGCACCGGCUAACUACGUG